rnacentral:rRNA from 1 species
AUGCAAGUCGAGCGCCCCGCAAGGGGAGCGGCAGACGGGUGAGUAACGCGUGGGAACGUACCUUUUGCUACGGAAUAACUCAGGGAAACUUGUGCUAAUACCGUAUGUGCCCUUCGGGGGAAAGAUUUAUCGGCAAAGGAUCGGCCCGCGUUGGAUUAGCUAGUUGGUGAGGUAAAGGCUCACCAAGGCGACGAUCCAUAGCUGGUCUGAGAGGAUGAUCAGCCACACUGGGACUGAGACACGGCCCAGACUCCUACGGGAGGCAGCAGUGGGGAAUAUUGGACAAUGGGCGCAAGCCUGAUCCAGCCAUGCCGCGUGAGUGAUGAAGGCCCUAGGGUUGUAAAGCUCUUUCACCGGUGAAGAUAAUGACGGUAACCGGAGAAGAAGCCCCGGCUAACUUCGUGCCAGCAGCCGCGGUAAUACGAAGGGGGCUAGCGUUGUUCGGAUUUACUGGGCGUAAAGCGCACGUAGGCGGACUUUUAAGUCAGGGGUGAAAUCCCGGGGCUCAACCCCGGAACUGCCUUUGAUACUGGAAGUCUUGAGUAUGGUAGAGGUGAGUGGAAUUCCGAGUGUAGAGGUGAAAUUCGUAGAUAUUCGGAGGAACACCAGUGGCGAAGGCGGCUCACUGGACCAUUACUGACGCU